GAUAUUGCCUCAUGCGACCUUAGGACAUGAUGGUUCUCCCAAGGCUCUAGAUGUGACCAGAAGUUUUCUGUUUAACCAAACCUUGAAAAUGGUUCCCUUUCACAACAAUAUUUAAAGGGUCAUGUAAAAUUACAUGGCUUGCAAAAACUAUAAACAGGAUAUAAAUGUAUGGUCUUUAAGCCAGUACAAUCUAUUCUGUCUUGGACAGCUUGAAUUAAGGAACCCAUGGAAACAGAUGACAUGUGCUAAUAACAGCAUCUUUGGGAAGAUGAUUUUGCUUUUCAUGAAGAAAGAAUGUUUUGAACUGUUGUACUGGAAUUUCAGUGCCUGCAAUGUUGAAGGUGACACCAGCUCGGAUAUGUAUUGUUUGGGGGUCAUAAAUGACCUUUGGAGCAUUUAUAAAAGUGGUAGUUACAGAAAACUUAUUAUCCUGAUGCUGAGAAGCAAACACUUUAAGAGGAUAUCGACGGGAUAAUAUUCACUGGAGAAAUAAUUCCUUACUUUUAAAGCCUCCAUCUUGGCCAGUUACCUUAGCCGAACUUUGG
rnacentral:lncRNA from 1 species